rfam:Mesocricetus auratus contig150883, whole genome shotgun sequence.
AUAUGUGAGGGCGAUCUGGCUGCGACAUCUGUCACCCCAUUGAUCGCCAGGGUUGAUUCGGCUGAUCUGGCUGGCUAGGCGGGUGUCCCCUUCCUCCCUCACCGCUCCAUGUGCGUCCCUCCCGAAGCUGCGUGCUCGGUCGAAGAGGACGACCUUCCCCGAAUAGAGGAGGACCGGUCUUUGGUUAAGGGUAUAUGAGUAGCUGCGCUCCCCUGCUAGAACCUCCAAACAAGCUCUCAAUCCAACCAUUUUUAAAUUUGAACUGGGUAUAUUUAUAUCAUUCAUGUUUAAUGACUAUAUGGAUAUGUUUAAAUCCAU